rnacentral:lncRNA from 1 species
CUGUUUGGUUGACCAUUGGAAGUUCACUAGAAGUUAUUGGAAGGUUGACAGCAGUGGCCAUUGCCCAGUUGGUCAGUGAAUGGAGAAAAGAAAAGAGAACAGAAAAUGUAAAGACAGAAAGGGAUAACACACACUAGGCUGUAAUAGGAAUUCCAAUUAAUACUUGUUUGCACCCAAAGGCAAAUGCAAUUUAUUUGUCAGAUGCCUGAAUGGCCAAAUCCAAUAUUGUUCACAACCAUCCUGGUCAAAUUACUCAAAUCCUGACCAGGCAUGUUAGAGAAAUUGGAUUUGGGCAUAAUUGACACCUCUUAAUUCCUAGGCUUGGAAAUCCUCGGAUUACUAGGUGCUUCUAUCAUUUUACUAGAGAUAGAAUAGGAUAUAUAGGUCAGAUAACUCUUGCAAUAGUCAUUCGCCGCUUGAGUCUGUGCAGUUAUGCUGUAGUUUGACUGGAAAAUUCAGGGAUUGACGGCUAAACUCAGAGGAUUAUUGUGUUUAUGUUUGUUCUUGAGAUUGGACAUAUUCUCAUGCUUCCUAUCAAAUCCAAAUUCAUCCAUAAUAUUUUUCAUGGGGGCAAGAUUCCUCCAUAAUGUGAGCAAUGAGACUCCAACUUAUCAGAGCCGUUAGCCUUGAAGUCUAUGCACUGGUUUCUGUUAUAUUACAGCAUUCUUUGCCUCUGCUAUUUCUACUCUUCUCAGUAACAUGUUUGAGUUAUGAACUCUGCUGCUGUUUUAUGCCUUUCGUCUACUGUUCAGGUAGCAUCUAGACCACAGGAGUAACAUGAAUUUAAAUUUAUCUAUCCUAUUAAUUUGUGUUUCUAAUCAGAGUUACCCAUCAGGGCUUUUUAAGCUGAUUAUAGAUGGGAACUCUGGAAUCCUGUCUGUAGCCUUAUCAUAUCUGUGUCAUUAAACGUUUUGUGUUUAAUGAAGAAAUUCAGCUGAAAUCAAUAUGAGAAAUAUUUAUCUGCAUUUUAAAAGAUGAUUUAUGAGAAAUAUUUAUCUACAGAUAAUUAUUGCUUCUUAAACAAGCACACCACAAAUAUAAAUUAAUCAUCAAAUUGAAUCUCAGGAAACUUUAUUUUACCAUGGAGAGGUAUAUUAGCUAAAUGGUAAUGUGAAUUUUCUUGGCUGCUGAGUUCAAUUAAAAUUUCUCAUUUUUUUGUGUUCCAAAAUGUUCUUCCAUGCAACAUAAGUUUAUGAGAUUCUUAUGCCUAUAUCAAGAAAUUCUGUCCUUGGGGAAAUGCGAAAAACUAGUUGCUUGCGAGGACAACAAUUUGUACUAAACUAGCAAAGAAGAAAAGUUUACAUGUUAAAGCAAUGAAGUUGAAUUUCAUUUUGUGUUUACGAAUAUGAUUAAACAGUGGAUGGUGCUUUUGCACCCAAAAAUUACUAAGCGGUGGAAGAAAUUCUUUGUGUGUUCUUUGGUCAAUGAUACUAGUAAACAAGUUUAACUUGUCUUUUUUCUUGGGUUUAAUUAUAAUAGCUCACUUAAUGGUUUUGGGACCUACUAGAUAUUUCGAGUAAGAUUGGGAUAUUCAAACAUGAAACAAUCAAUAAGAGACAAAAUAAAUAAAUUAAUAAGAGUACAAUUUCAUUGUCUAAAUGAGCACACUUUCUAGGAACAAUUUCACCAUGUAAUAUUGAAGUUAGUCAUCUCUCUUUUAUUUUGUUGCAAGUGUGGUAAUUCAAAGAAAUAGAUAAAUAAAAGUACCGUAAAUAUAAUAUCACCCAUCGAUGAGAGUCUUUUUUCCUAGAAAUGUAGGUGAAAUAUAACGGUAGUUAUUCUUAAAAUUAGAACAGAUCCUUUUUUGGUUUUUUUUUUUCAAAAAUUAUCGUAGCAUUUUUAUUGGUAAAUAUAACUUCAAGAUAAAUAAAUGAUUGAAACUUUUCAAGAAUAUAUUAUCAAAAAAACAAUGUGAAACAAAGGAAACCCUAGUGUAUGAAAAGAAUCAUGAACUCAUUGUGGGCGUGUCCAUAGAGUAAUUCACAAGCCAAUAUCUGGCCAACACAUAAACGCACGCAUGAACACAUAAAUCCAAACCAAAAGUUUAGAAACCUGUCCACUUUUUCUCAUGAUUUUAUCAUCAAGACAACAUUAACUGAUUGUGUUAUUUCUUGGUUUUUUUUUUUUUUAUCUGAAAACACAUUCUACUUUCUCAUACUAUCAAGUUAUUAAUAAUUAUGGGACGAAAGGAACAUGCUCAAUAAAGUGGAUAGAAAGGUCUGUCAACGAAUCAAAUACUGACCACUAAACGUGAAAGAUCUGUCAGAAUUGCUGGCCUGCCCAGUUCACAUUUCAGCAAAUGCUAGCCACUAAAUGUGAAAGAUCUCUCAAAAUUGCUGGCCUGCUCAGUUCACAUUUCAGCAAAUUGUGAUGUAGAAAUCAAGAGAUUCAGUUUUUUUUUUUACAAGAAAACUCGCAACUGCUAUCCGAGAGUGCACGUUGGGUAAAUCCCGUCCUGUGCAAUAGCCCACCAAUCAAACGGAGGAGUAAGACGUAUUAGGCAAAUCCUGUGUAACGGAUAGAUGUCCCAAUAGAGGUUCGAACUCGGAUUGGUAGGAAGACAUGACAUUAACUCUACUAUUUCGACCAAGUCAAGGGACAUCAAGAGAUUCAGUCUAACACAAAGUGGUCAUGAAAACAACCGCACACCUUCAUUGUCAUCUUGCUGGAAAGUCUCGAAGAAAAACAAGAAGAAUUGGUUCAGUGGGGACUUUAGUCCAAAUAUUUCUUUAAUUGUGAGACUCACGGGCUAUCACAAUUGAAGUGGCGGUGUCAUCUUUUCCAGCACAUGCAUCCAUGGGCAGAACAGAUAUGGAGGUUUUGUUCUUUUUUGUUAGGUUAUCAAUUAUUUGUUUCAGUUUUACGUAAGCAAUGAUGUCAUCUGAGUACCUUAAUUUCUUCCUCAAUCUAUUAUUGUGUGAGGAAACGAGACCGACUACUUCUCUAGAAGGAACAGAUAUAGCUGUUUUAUGCGUUAAGAAGAAGAAAAAGAAAAACGUCUUUGAAGAUGAAAAGUAAUUUUUUUUUGUCAAAAAAUAAUUGCUUCCAUAUAAAAUUUAACGCCAAAUAUUGUUUUGAGUUGCUCAAUAUAUUUUUUUUUUUUUGGACAAACCCGUAUAUUGGGGAUGAAGGCCAGACUAUGUUUUGUUAAAGUCUUGAAUAGAUAAAAGUUGAAUUAGGAGUUGCAUGCAAGUUUUGAACUUUCUUUCGGUUGGUUCUACUUUGGGUCUAUACACAAAUUUCAAAGCUGAAAGAGUUGCUUUAAUAAGCAGCACCAAGGUAUAUUUUAAGGAAACUCGAGUGCCAAAUACAGCAUUUGCUGAAUAUCUCUAAUUUUAAUUGUAAUACUACACAUUCAACUUUCUAGUACAAUUUUACACAAUUCUACUCAUUUUAUCAACUUUCUAGUACAAUUUUACACAAUUCUACUCAUUCAGGCUAGUAUUAUAUGAAUAAAAAGUAAUAAUUCGUAACAGGUCAAUUUUUUUGUAUACACUCACAUUUAUUGUAUCUUGUAUUUAAAUAGUUUCAUGAUUUAAUGUAGUUUUUCAAAUAAACACUAUCUAACCAAUGGCCAUUGGAUUCUUUCAUCCGCACCUUAUAUGAAAUUUUAAACAAUAUUGUCCUUUUGAAUUUCGCCAAUAGUUUUGUUUUGGACAGGAGAUUAUCUGAAAUAUUAUUUGGAAUAAUUACUGUAUCAUUUUUUGUGAUGUGAUGUAUGUGAGAUAAAAAGGUGAUUGAGAAGAUAAAAAGGUGUGUUGAAAAUUGCAAACAAAUAAUUUUUGACCAAAUAAUGGCUAUCCAAACAAACUUGAGGCUUUGAUAGAAUGGAAAUGUUUUUGUUUGAGUUCUAGAAAAUAGAAAACAGACUAAACGGACCAUAGUCGAGGUAUACACGUAAUGCAUAGGUUAAAUUCAGAGGAUCCAUCAGAAAAAUGCAAUUAAGGGAACCCUGCCAAGCUGCCACUUCAGUGUUCAUAAAUUUGCUCAUUCAUCUCAAUUAUUUGCUGCAAGAAUUGAUUUUUUUUUUUUGGGAUUUUUGUCUUUUUCUUAUUGUCCUACCAGUUUUUGAGUGAAUUCAUUUCCAAGGGUCAAUUGAACAUUGUUAAAAUCUAACUUUGUAGCUUGUCAAGUCAGCACAGAAAAAAGUGACUUCCUUUAGGGAGAACAAGAAUCCGUAGGCCAAAGGUAAACAAUCCAGGCACAUGUAAACAAAGGAUCUUAAUCUAAGCUAACACAAUUAACCAAAUCAACCAAUAGAAAAUUCCUAAUUGUAGAGCCUUAUCUUUAACUAUCAUCUGAUUUCUAGUUUAGUCCCUAAAUUCUAGAUUGGAACAAUUUAGUCCCCAAAUUAUACUUUGAUUCCCACGUUGAUCUCUAAAUUCCGAAUCGGGACAAUUUAAUCGCCUAACUAUACUACGAUUCUCAAUUUGGUCCCUAAACUUAUUUGUUCCCUCUAAUCUUAGGAUUUUCUUUUGGGUUAUCGUUUAAUCCUUGUUACUGCUCACUUGACUUGUGUUUCGUUAGUUUUGGGAAUUCCAUUAAAUAAUUGUCUUUAGUUGGGAUGAUAUAUGUAAUUUAGAGGCUAAAGUGUCCCAAUUUCUAGUCGAGAGACUAAAGUGAAAAUUGAGGUAUAAUUGAAGGAUGCAAAACAGAAUUAACGCAAUCUUUUAGCUCGGAGUUGAAUGAUUACAAUGAUCCGACAUUGCUGUUGUAUUGCACGUGAUACAUCUGUUCUUGGUAGAAGCUUUUCUUAAGCAAUGGAUUAUUUAAUUAAUUAACUCAUACCAGUCAGUAUCAGGAAAGCAACAAAGAUAGGGGAUUCAAAUUAAAGGGGAAAACAACAAAGAUGAUAACAAUUAAUGGCACAAAUGUCCAUAAAAAUGACUAAUAUAUUAAUCAAUAGACAGCUUAGGGAAAAACAAACAAAUUAAGGACCGCAAGAGAGAAGAAAAGGGAAAACAAGGCCAUUGGAGUUAGUAAAUGAUUUGAAUGAUCCAAUGUAUGUUCUUACAACACUUGGAAUAGGUUCCCAAUGUUUGGAAAUUGAACUAUUUUUGUCACUAAAGUUUCACUGAAAUAUAUGUAGUACCCAUAAUUUUAAUUUUGACCAAUUAGUAUAAUUGAUGCCAUUGUCCUACACCACAUCCAUUAAUAAAACAAGAAAAAGUACGGAAUAUUGCUAAUUUAAUUCCCUCAAGUUUUUAUCUAAAGUAUCUUUAUUUUGUGAUCUUUUAUUUUAUCCUAUUUAGUCCUUUCACCUUUUUUUUUCUAAUGCUAAAAUAGUCCUUUAUUCACUAAAUCCACCAGUGAACUUUUUCCAACUCGAAAUCCAGCGUCGUGAAAGGGUGUGAUCAAAACUAAUAAAUGAUUCUCUUUCCAAAAAAAAAAAACUUUACUUUCUUCUUAUUUGUCUUUUUAUAUGCUAUGUAGUUUCUUUCUUUCUUUUUUUUUUUUUUUUUACUUUCUUCAACUAUUUUUGCUACUUUCUUUUGAAACUACAUAAUUAACGAGUUUAACACACUAACAAUGUUAUAUUAUUAAAAUGAUAAAGUAUAUUAUUUCAAAUUUAAAAUUUGAUGCAAGAGGCUUAAAUCUUCCCCUAUAGUUUUAUUCUUGAUGAAAAUUACAUAUUUACCCUUGCAUGUGCAUGGGGUUGGGUACCUGCGUUCCGGCCUGCUCUCAUACUCUAUUCAACAACGUGUACGGUUAUGAUCAAAGCUUCAAAUACUCUCUUUUGAAAAAUAAUAAUUCUCAAUUAUUUUUUUAAUAUCUCUUCCUUUUCUUUUUUUUUUGAAAAAAAUUUCUUGAACUAUUUCUCAUAAAUGAAGAAAUCAUAUAAAAAAAUAAAAUGCAAAAGUAGUUGAUGAAAGUACCAAAGCAAAUUACAUAAAAAACAAAAAGAUGAGAAGAAAGUAGAAUUUAUUUUUUUCUUUGAAAGAGAAUAGUUGAAGUUUUAUUUAUACCCUUUAACACCAUAGGUUUGGAGGAAAAAGUUUCCGGCCGAGGAGGAACAAUUUUGUUACUAGAAAUAAAGUGAAAGGACUAAAUUGUAUACCUGGAACUAAAGCUUCUUUAGAUUAAAAAGUGCAAGGACUAAUAGAGCUAUUUGCACCACUUUUUCUUGUUUUAGUAACAUGAGUGUUGGUAGAUAAGGUCCAAGUGGAAGCAAAUAGCGUCAAUUGUCUCAAACUUCUUCAAAAAGAGAUAUUGUAGGUACUAAAUGUGUUUCCAGUGAAACUUUAGAUAUGAAAAUGGCCUAAAUCCCAAAUAUUGGGGGACAAAAAACGUUAUUUUCCUAACACAUAAUUUAUUAGAAAUUUGUUGCACAAAUUUAAAGCAUGUUUUUUUUAACCUUGUUUUUGUUACAAGUGUGACGAAGCGAAGGAAUAAAGUAAAGUAAUUUACUUUUUCCUUUACGUGUGUUUGUUUUGUAGGAGUCACAAAAUUAUUUGGCACUUUUCCUCAGUUUCCUUUAUUUUCUGUCCUACAAAAUUUAAAAGAUUUUAAAGGAAAAAUGUUACUAGCGAAUAAAAUUCUCCAAUACUGCCACUAACCAUCUAUUUUCUCUUGUUUCCUUGUCAAACAAACAUGAACAGGAAGAUAUAUUUUCUUUCUUUUACCUCACUUUCUCAGGUAGUAAUCCAUCUAGUCAAAAUAGAGUCCAUGCUUCGAAAAUUUAAAAGCUAGUAUUUUCAAAAACACUACAAUCAGUGGAGAUGUAGAAAAUAAAGAUCGAAGAUGCAAAAUUGGUACAUUCGUAAAACAAUUGAGAGGCCACAUUAAAAUUCUCUUAAGUAUCUUUAUGAAAUUAUUCAACCAUAAUUAAAGAAAUUCUUUACAAAAAAUAAGGAAGGAAGUAACUAAACAUCUUGGCAGAUAUACCCCAACUUAGAACUCAAAAUUAAAAUAAAUAAACUGGUCUAUUUUCCCUUUACAAUUUUGGUUUUUUCCAGCUUCAAAAAGCCAACAGAAACUGAGGAAACUGGUUGUUGAGAAUAUCACAUAACAAAUUGCUCUACACCGCAAGCUAAAACAAGGUUUAAAAAGCUGAGAAGAAUUACAUGAAAUUUUGACAUUGAACUUCAGAUGUUACAUAAAAUAUCAUGCGGUCAUCCAAAUUUGCUCCAUUGCCAUGUCUUAGAGCUAUAGAUAUUGGUAUCUUUGUCUACGGCUAGUAAUAAUGGUCUCCGUCACAAUUGAUUGUGGAGUAUUCAAGUCGCAUUCAUCAACUACAAGGGCCUUUACACUUGGAGAAUGGAGGCAGGGCAAGAGAGUUAGGAUAGGAUGGGGAUAGUAGAUGCAUGCUGAGGAUAUUUGGUAUCACAUUUCAAUUUACUUUUUCCAAUUGUGCAUGCUCUUAAUAAAGUGAAAAUGAUAGUAAUUAUCUGUCCAAAAAUUAUUUACUUACAUCACAAGCACAUCGUCCAAUACAAAAUUUUAUUUUUUCAAUCACUUUUUUAUCUUAUAUAUAUUACAUUAACAGAAGUACUAUAAUAAUUAUUUCAAAUAAUCUACUAUCCAAAUAGUAGAAAAUCCAACACAACGUGAUGGAGUACUAUAGGGGAAGGAAUUUAUACGUUGUCAUUGAGUUGCCAAACAUGGCUAAUUAAUUGCCUUGCUAACUGUGUGAUUAAGGAUGAUAUAGUGGAAAUGACUCCCAAAAGAAUUUCUCGAAGAAUUUGAGCUAGUCUUUGACUGCAUAAAGAACUAAGACAUGUUCUAGUAAGUUGCAGUCAAGGACAUGUUACUAAUUGACAAAGUUCUAGAAAGGCUACUAAUUAUAUACUUGAUCCUUCUAUAAGAUUUUAGGGAUUGCUCAAAAGAAAAGAAGGUAUUAUGUGAAAAUUAAUUAAAUGUGCUUUUAAGAAUGACCUAAAUGGAAUUUCUUCAAUGUAAACAUCCAACUUAUUAACAUAUUGUACUAAUGGACCAUUGAACUGCGCAAAUCUUUUGUAAAUAUAUUCUAAGAUUGUGUCAAGGCUCGCCAUUGUAAGUCUACUGCAUUAAAUACAUUAAAUAGAGUAAAUGGUACGAAAGGUCAUUAACUUUUCUAAAAUUGCACUAUUUGGUCAUCAAAAAAUUUUCUUUUGUAGCCAAAAAUGACACCGAACUCAUAAAAGCAUGAUUUUUAAGUCACUGCAUUGAAUUUUAGUAUUAAAACAGCCGGACUGUACACACAUAAUAGUACGCUUAGGUAUUUAGGGGUAAAGAUCUCUUAUAACAUUCAGCGCAAGGUUUUCUCUCACAAACUGUUCUAGAAAUGUUAGAAGUAACUUCUUACCUUAUUAUAAAACCUAAUUGGAAGAUAUAAAGGAGCCUUCUAAUUAGGUUUUAUGAUAAGGUAUAUAGCAAAUUAUUUUUAAUUUUAUUGAUGCAAUUUGCGAUAGAAAAUUCUGCGCUAAAAGUUAUAAGGCAUUUUUGCUCUCGAAAAUCUAAUCAUGCUUGUAAUGUGGAUGCAUUUCCAAAUGUUUCAACACCGAAAUUGACAGGAUGACCAAAAAAUUACUUUUUACAAGUUCAAUGACCUUUUUGGUGAAGAAAAAAAAAACUUCCAAACAGUGCAAUAUUAAAAUGUUGAGAUAUAUUUUGAACCAUUUAUUACUUAUGGCUUAUGACCAUUAACCUUUUGAAAUGCAUCAUUGUGCUAAUAUGCACUUAUUGUAAAGCUUGGGGCCCUUGCCCUUAUACUGUAUAGUUUUGCUAAAGAUAUAAAAUCUCCUGACAUUUUGGUUAAAAAAAACAUAGAUGGAAAUUGAAAUACACUGGAACUAAAAGAUUCCUCCUAGAUUGAACUGUUUAUUAGAUUUCGAAAAGACAAAGGAAUAUUGACAACCAAAAUGAAAUUACAUCUUGGCAUCUAUGUAGACUACGAACAUGUUCAGAAAUUUGACCUUUAUUCAUUGAACUGUCCAAAUAGAUGGGUUAUAAUUCGAGAAUCCAAAGAAAAUAGUGAGGCAAAUUGACAGAAAACCUUUGUGAGAUUCCAUUUUAGAGUUCUAUAAUAAUCGUCAUAUCCCCAAAAAAAAAAAAAACUAAAAACAAAAGGGAAAGCAUACUGCGAGAAAUUCGUGUUCGCAAAAUGAAGCAGUAGAUGCAGUUCACUUGGCUUUUUGCAAACUUAAAAAGGGUCUGUUAAUCUGUACAAGGAAAAAUUUUCUUUUGAAAGCAUUAAAUGAACAAAGUAAUUUUACAACUUAAUAAUUUGAAAAUUUUACGUAAGUAGAUUAUUUCACCUAUUAUCUUGUAAAAUAUUAACUCAAAAUCAUCGUAUUGAUUGUUUGUUUAUGGAUUUUUUUGACCAAGAAGAAUGAAAAGAUUUCAUUCAAGUAAAACAUUUCUACUGAUGUGCUUAAGAAAUGAUGGAUUUUACUCACGAUACUAUUUUGGAAAGUGGUCUUCCUCCACGCAAAUUCAAUAAUUCAACAAUAUUCUAACUGUUAACCCAUAAAUAUAGGAUGAACAUUAACACUUAAUCAGAACAAACUCAAAUACACUGUGAUUUGAAUUCCAAAUCCAAUUUCUGCAAUAUCUACUUUGGUUAUUUUACCGCUAGAUAAAAGCCAAAGACGUGAUUUGGAUUGCAUUUUCUAAAUUUUUUUUAAUAAAAAAUUGCUAUAACACUUUUGAGAAUAUAUUAUAUGAGAUAAAAAAUAGUAUUUAAAAACAUGUAAAAUAAAUAUUGAUGAAAAAUGAAAAAUUUAUGGCAUGCAAAUUCAGAUGCUAGAGUUGCUAGCUACUAUAAAUAAAGAUAACUGGUAUUUUUCUUUUCUUGUCUUUUUUGUUUAAUUUUUUUUUACUUUCGGUGCGAAAAAGACUUCCCUAUUAUCUUGAAAUGACACUAUGAUUUGAUUCACGGAGACAGUUUAAUUAUGCAUAAACCUACUAAAUGACAAAGAAGCAAAAGGCAUAAGUCAAGCCGCAAAAAAUAUGUCCCACCCACGAUGUCCUUAUGCUUCUUAUAAUACUCUCUAAUUACUAAUAAUCAGUGGACAAGAUUUGACAGCACUGAUAUCUUCCGAUCUUUUGAAGGCUAUACUUAGCAGUUUGACAGACAUUUGUUAAUCUUUUUUAGCAUGUAACCAUAAUUAAGGAUUGAUUAAUUUUAUAGUUGCACCAAAUAGAGAUGGACUGAAUGGUUACUAGCCAACUACUAGCUCAUUCAGCCACUUUCGAUCUCGAACUCUCGUAGAAUAAUUUAAUUCCAAAUCCCAUUAAUUAUAAUGUCUAAGAAAGCAUGAACAUGCUAUCUUUAAUGUGUUUUCAUUCAAGAACAAAGCUUGUUAAACAUAUAUUUUGGGCAUCCAUUUAGAAUUCUAAGGCACAAAAAUUAGUAGAGCUCUAAUUCUAAUUCUAAUUUUACCACAUGAUAAAACAAUAGUAUUUUCAUACUAUACUAUAACUAUUCUACGUCCUAUAUAUUACAAAAUUCUUUAUUAUAUAUAAGAUGAACCAAGGUAGCACAAAAUUUGUAAUCCAAUUCAAAACCUCGAAAAGUAUGGUGACGAAGACUUUUUUUUUUUUUUUUUUGGGGGGUAAGCUGGUAACGAAGAAGUAAAUCUUAGAUCAGAAUUAUUACCUAUUUAUUCAUCCACUCUUGAACCAAAGAAUCCGAAAAUCCUAAUAUGCCAUGGAGGAUAAGACACAUAAAUAGGUAGAAUGUCUAUGUCUCAAUUAUAUUAGCUUUAGAAUUUUAAUUGGGCUCUCUCAAUUGGACCAAGUGUAAUAUGGAAUUGAUCCAAAAAAACCAUUUACGUAGCCCAGCAAGGUCAAAAUUUCAGCUUUUCUUUUUAAUUUUUUAAUUAUUUUUUAAAUGUUGUAGUUUGGUAAUUAUGUGAACAUAAGAUGCAGUGUAUUAACCGUCAAAAGGUUUUAAAUUAGAAAAAUGUCUAAUUAUAAACUCGCUUGGAACAAGAAUUCACAACAUAAACUCCAUCAAACGAAGCCCGUGACACUGAAACCUCAAUCCAAUUUAGUCUUAACUCAUUGGGAAAAAUGGUUUUAAAUUAAAAAAAUGUCUAAUUAUAGAGGUCAUAAAUGCGAGUUCUUAAGCUUAGAUGAUAAAUUGUACCUCAAUUAACUAAACUAACUAGCAGUUCCUAUUAAGUAACGAUUUCCACCAAUCUCAUUAAUAAAUUUGUUAUCUUUUUCCCUCAAAAAACCAGCAAUUUCAGUUGUGAACUGUGUGAAUUGAGAUGUCAAUUGAGGUAAUUAAUAGCAAUUUGUGAUUAAUCAUGGCAGCAAAUGAAGCAUGUGACAAAUUUGCGGCCACUGGUUUUCAUGCAAACAUGAUCACGUACCUGACCAAAGAGCUAAACUUGCCUUUAGUCAAAGCCUCCAAUACUCUCACAAACUUUGGUGGAACCUCCAGCUUCACACCCCUUAUUGGUGCUCUAAUUGCCGACUCCUUUGCUGGCCGAUUUUGGACUAUCAUUGUGGCUUCCAUCAUUUAUGAACUGGUCUUCUUGAUCUCUACUCUCUGAUAUUUUGCUUUUCAUCAGUCCGUUUGUAUUUUUUUUUUUUUACUCUUAUUGAAACUUACAGAAACAAAAUUAAAAUGGGGUGUUUGUGGAAAACAAAUGACAAUAUAAUUAAAAGUGAGACAGGAAGUGAGAUAGGAAAUGGAAUAAUAAAUUCUUUGCGAGGUGUAGGGGAUGAUAAAACUUUUAGUUUGGCCGGUAGAGUUUCAAACUUUUACUUUAGCAAGUAGAGUUUUUUUUUUGGUGAUAAAAUGAUAAUUUCAUUCAUAAAAGUUUAAAACUGCACUAACAGGCAAACAAAGUGUAUAUUCAUGCAAUAAAAGGUUUAGCCAAAUUUAAAGAGGGAUUCAAGUGAUCCUCGACUCCAUUCACUUGGAAAUUCUAUUUGACAAUAUAUAUAAACAAUACGGCUGUUUAAUUUAAAAUUAGGAAUGUAAAGGUAAUGUGUAGAAAAGGGAGGCGGCAAUGGUACGAGUUAUGUUAAAUUAGUGGUGCAUGUAAAUACAAUUCAAGAUAGAAUUUUCUGAAUUUAAUCAUUCCUAGCUCCCAAAAAAGGAAAUAAGUAUUUGUGUAGGAGUAUAUAAUUUUUAAAAAUUUCCCUUGAUAACUCUUGCAUAAAAACAGAAACUUUUGGACAAACAAUAACUUUAAUACAUGAAAGUAAUUUUUUUUUUUAAUCUUGGGGCAGCUGUCCCUCCAACCAUGCAACUGCAUCACUGAGCUAUGCUUGAAUAGGUGUUAGCAAAAACCACUUCGCUCGUAAUUUCACAAUUCUUUGUCAUGAUAGGGUAUGGUGUGUAUUACUACUUCAGCAGUGCUGCCACAACUACAUCCUCCUCCAUGUCCGACUCAACAAAACUGCAAAGAGGCCUCAAACACUCAGCUUUGGGUCCUAUAUAUUGCUCUCCUCUUGACAUCUUUAGGAACUGGUGGCAUUAGGCCCUGUGUUGUUACCUUUGCUGCUGAUCAAUUUGACAUGAGCAAAUUCGCAGCUGCAUCUAGAAGCUGGAAUUUCUUCAAUUGGUACUAUUUCUGCAUGGGAAUGGCCACACUAUUGGCUCUUACAGUGGUAGUUUAUAUCCAAGAUAAUGUUGGUUGGGGCUGGGGUCUUGGAAUCCCUACAAUUGCCAUGGCUUUAUCUAUUGUAGCUUUUGUUGUUGGCGCCCCUCUUUAUAAAAAGGUGCAACCAGGUGGGAGUCCAUUGAUUAGAUUGGCACAGGUAAUUGUUGCAGCUUUGAAGAAGAGGAAUAUCGUGGCACCAAAUGACCCUAGUCAACUGUAUGAGAACAAGGAGUUAGAUGCUACUAUCUCCUCCAAUGGAAAACUUGUUCACACUAAUCAGUUCAGGUGUGCUAUACACAUUCCCUACUAUGGUAUUAUAGCAAUUUAUCUGAAUACUGAAAUCAGCAGUUACAUGACACAAUAUGUUGGAAAUGGGAAAAAAAGACUUGGAACACAAAAAUGGUGAACAAAGUUAUGACUCACUAAAUCUUCCUCAUAUCGGUUUGCAAUUUCUUGUACUUUAAAAGAACAAAGUAGUUAAUUAGGCUUUCAUGGUGUUUUACAUAUUUUUUCUUUUAUAAAGGAAUCGUCUUACUGGUUUUAUUUAAUUAUUUUCGCUCCUUUCUUUUUCGAUGGGAGUGGAAUUAAGCAAGCUACUUUUUGUCUGGAUUUGGUAUGCUAGAAAACAGCCCAUUUUUUAUUUAAUGUAUCUGUUGAAAGUUCAGGCUUCGAGAAAAGAGUGUUAGGAGCUAAAAUUUCCAUGUAGAUUACAUUAGGAGCUGGAUGCCUGGAGAUAUUUUAUUAGAUCAAAGGUAGACUAUUUGGAAAAUGCACCUGCUAAUAGUAAUCAGGACUACAGACUUUCUAGGUUAACUACAAGCUUACUGUUAACAUACAACUGUAAACCUGUUUAGACUACUCGGUAGAACAUAUCUUCACUAUAUUAAAUGAAUUAAUUUCAUGCUUAAUGGGCUGCUCUGUUAGCAAUUGUGUUGGGACAUUAUGCAAGGGAAAGAAAAUUUCAGAAGAGAAGAAUAUAAUUUCUUCCAAUCCGAUUAGGACCCCUAACUUUAAUUGCAUACAGAGUUGAAAUACUUGGAUAUACUUUUCAUCAAUCAAAGCAAGUUAGACACUAUAACAUACUGAUGCUUUGUUGUUGAAGGUUGAUCUUCUGAAUUAGUUUCUCAUGCUGACAGAAAGUACAUAAUAGUGAACAUAUUCAGACCAGUCAAUUUCUCUGAACCUCAUUGUGCCAAUUUUCUUGUCUGAGACUAAUCUAGAUUUCUGUUGAUAUCUUUCGAUGUUCCACAACAAUUCUUGGUGCCAUUCUGUCCAUAAUUAUAUAUUGCACUCUAUCCCAGGUGGGCUGAUCGAGCAGCUGUAUUGACUGAUGAUGACAUUGAUGAAUCGAACCACCCAAAACUAUGGAGAAUAUCAACAGUACAUAGAAUUGAAGAGCUGAAAUCAGUAAUUCGAGUUUUGCCUAUUUGGGGAGCCGGGAUAUUACUAGUUACUUCCCACUCACAUCUCGGCAGCUUCACCAUCCAACAAGCUCGUAGCAUGAACCGUCAUCUAUCCCACUCCUUUGAGAUUCCUCCAGCAAGCCUGUCCAUCUUCAGUAUCAUUACUGUGCUAGUUGGUCUUGGUUUAUAUGAGCGCCUUUUUGUCCCAUUUGCUCGUCGAUUUACAGAGAAUCCUGCGGGGAUCACAUGCCUACAACGUAUGGGAAUUGGAUUCACGAUCAACAUCCUUGCUACUAUUGUUUCAGCUCUGGUUGAAAUGAAGCGAAAGGCUGUGGCAGCAGAUCAUAAUCUCUUAGACAAGCCAACUGCUACUAUACCAAUAAGUGUCUUUUGGUUGCUUCCACAGUUUUGCCUCCAUGGAAUUGCAGAGGUUUUCCAUUCUGUUGGGCACUUGGAAUUUCUUUAUGAUCAGUCCCCUGAGAGCAUGAGAAGCACAAUGGUUGCACUAUACUCCCUGGCAGCAUCAUUUGGAAAUUAUAUUGGAACAUUUGUGGUUUCAACAGUUCACAAGUAUACUGGUAUAGAGAGAAAUUGGCUACCUGAUAGGAAUCUCAACAGGGGAAGGUUGGAGAAUUAUUAUUGGCUGGUUACAGGAAUACAAGUAGUUAAUCUCAUAUACUAUCUCAUAUGUGCUUGGUGCUAUACCUAUAAACCAUUGGAAGAAUUGAUUGAAAGCAGUGAAGAUAUUGAUAUGGAGCUAGCAAACGAUAAGACAUCAACACAGGAUUCUAAGGUGAUUACUAGAGAAACAGAAUUAGCAAUACAGCAAACAUCUUAGGACGGGUUGUAUCAAUAACUAGUUAGAUGUAUUUGGUGGAAGCAUCAAUUACUUGUAUGGCUCUGCAUUGUACAUUUUAGUUCAAUCAGUGUAGUUCUUAUAAAAUGAUUCCAUCAAUUUGCCAUAACUAAGAUUACUGAAAUAGAAUCUCUGAAAAAACUGUUUCAGCUAGGCUGUUCUUUGAUAGAGUUUCUAAUUUCCUUUUAAGUGUUGGGAUCUUUCCUUUUGCGAGUUGAGAGAAGGUGCGUAUUGUAUUCGCGUCACAAAAUUCUGAUAAUUAAUUCGUUACAACUUUCAGAUGUAAAUAAUGUACAUUAUUUAAGGCCAUGUUCGGUUAGGAGUUUUGUGUUAACCAUUCAAUAUUUAUCACUUGUCUGAUAUCAUCUACAUCAUGUAUCGUAUAGUUGUUUGUUAUACUUUGUACUUAUUUUAUAGAUCUUACCCAUUGUACUCAUUUAUAGUGUAAAUAAAGAUGACAACAACCUUCAGAGUGAGCACAUUUCUUCUUCAUGGUAUCACGAGCAUUGCCAGUUCCUUGGCUUUUUUUAUUUUCUUUUUCUUUCAUCAAGAGUUCUCUUAUUAAAGAUAGUUCAAUCUCUCAGUCUACUAAAUCAUUUCUUCCUUCUCAAGUUCCACAGAUCUCCACCAUAAAGAACUCCACUUCUCUUGAAUUAACCUUCAUGAAUUUUCUUACUUGGAAGCGUCUUGUUACUACAUUUCUGAAAAGCCAAAAGAUGUUUGGUAUUGUUGAUGGAUAAAGUCUUUGUCCAAAUUCAUCAAUGAUUCAUAUGAUCUCUGGGUUCAAUGUGACACAACUGUACAUAGUUGGAUUGAUCCUACAUUUUCUCUUAAUGUUCUUGAAACACUUCUUAAUCAUGGGUGUGAAAGUGCAUGCAUAUACUGCAUGGAACACUUUGGAACGUCUCUUUCUUGAUCAUGAUGCAUCCACUAUGAUGGAUUUGAAACAUAAAUUUCAAAGCUUCACUAAAGGUGACCUAAAAGUGGAAGACUGUCUUCAACAGUUACACUUAUUGGCUUGUUCCUUCAUAACUGUCGGAAAUUCAGUAAGUUAUCUGAUGAUUAGUUAUUCAAACUCUUCAAGAACUUAUAUAUCACAAAAUCCUGUGUUCCACUCACGAACAAUGCAUAUUGCACUGCAUUAUCACUUUGUAUAUGCAAAAAUUGCUCUAGACUAUCUUCAGGUCUCUGAUAUUCCUAUUACUCGACAACUUGUUGAUAUCCUUGCUAAAAACUUCCAGCUGAUUAAUUUCAUGAACUUGCUCUAACAAAAACAACUCGAACGUGGCUUUUGGUUAUUUGUUUUCAAUUUGCUUAAUGUUCGAGCAUGUUUGGCUUUAUGUUGACAAGGGAAUACUCAGUGCAUGGAAUUAUGCUUUCAAUCUUGGAAUGACAUAGAUGAAGUUGAUUUUAUCAUUGUAUUUUAAAUUCUGUGCAUGCUGUAGAAAACUUACAGUUGUGUGUGUUGUGUUUGACCUUUUCAAGUUAUUGGGGAUGACAAAAGGAUCGUGCGCCCUACAAUUGCCGGUACAGAUAUUAAUAGAAGAAAUGUGGAUACAAAUAAUAAAUAUUAAAAACACCAGAGACUCGUAUGUUAGGUGUGGUUAACUGUUUUGUUGAAUGGACUGUACAAUUGCUGACCAAUUGCUCGGUGCAUCCAUGGAGAAGAUGUGUGUAAGUUCAUUUUUUUUGUCAACCCACAACAUCUACAAUAUUUUUAUUUUAAUUUAUAUUACAAGAGAGUUUUAGUGUCUAACUGAAUCAAUAGAAAUUAGAAGUAAAGCAACCUAUUUUCAAACUAAAAGGGUACAUUACUACUCACUCUCUACCUCCAGAUUUUACUGCAAAUGUAAAAAAUUAAACGUCGACAGUUUUUAAUGAGUACCAAAUUUUGUCAUGUUUUUACACGGUAGUGUUUUAAUAUCUGCAUUUGUUAAAUUAAUGCAUAUAUGAGAUGGUAUUACAGUAUUGUCAAAAUGGGUAUCUGCUUUGGAUCCCCCUCCCCCCUAAAAUAAUUAGCGACCAUAUUAGCUUGAGCGACAUCCUUUCUUUUCAUAUGAUAAGCUGCAAGAUUAGCUUGAGUAAUAGCAAGGGGACCAAAAUAAGACCAGCUAAAUGUGAAAAUUACAGAAUUGGGGUUUUUCCCUUUAUGUGUCAUGAUCCCUUCUGUCUUAUCGGCCCUAAUGAACACAGAAGUCAAGAAUUCCCACUUAGCAGCCUAGGUGACAGAAGGAGGGAGUGAAGUGGAUCAGCCUCAUACCUGAAUUCAAAACAAGUGAGAGACAAUUAUUUACCAAAUUUUAGGCUAGCAGCAUAAUUUUUUCCUUAAAAUACAAUGACAUGGUUAAAUUAACUUUAGAAUAGAAAUGUGUGCAAUCCUAAAUUUGGAAAAAUGGUUACCCCUAACAAUUGUUCUUGCCUUGUACCAUGAGCGUAAAUGAAGAUAUUAGGUGGUAAAUGCAAAUUUCUCUUCUUGCAUGUGGUGGUAGGGGCAGAAAAAGAGAAGGAUUGCAAGAAUGCAUGAGACCUUGAUUCUAAGGCCUACCAGUGCAUGUAUUGGUAGGUCGUGUCAUGGUUACAAGCAUAGUUUGCCGUGCUAUUCUCACAAGGAUCCACAACUUGAAAAAGCCACAAAGGGGAUUAAAAGGUUGAUUUUUCCUAGGAUGACAAUUGAUACAUUCCCAAACAACAAAAGACAUUCUUAAUUUCCUUUUAAAGCUAAAAUCAUUAACUACUAACAAGUGGGCCGUGUCUCUUUGUGCUUUUCUUCUUCUUCUUUUUUAAUAAAAAAAAGGUUUGAAUAAGUUUGGUUUGAUUAUCAGCACAAAUCAGGCAUGUACUAGAUCAUAGAUCGCUUAUAGGGGUGCUUAUAAAUUAUUCAUCAACAUAGUUUUCGCAUCGAUAGCAGAAUUCAAAUAUCGACAGUAAGAUUCAAAUACAUAUAAUCUUUUAUGAGGGAGUAAAGGGCCUCUACAAUUGCCAUUGUGGAGUCUGGUUUGUGACCUAGAUAUGGUCAUGCUCAAUUAGCUCAACCUCAACUAUUCGUAUAAAUAUUUAAAAGAAAAUUUUCUUUUCAAAAUUCACAGCUUGGAUUUAAGCCACGUUUAAAUCACCUUUAUUUGGGCAUGAAUUGUUCUCUAUUAUUGGCAAAUCACCAGCAAUUAAUGAUACUGGAUUGGAGUUGCUACCCUCAAAAUAAGUCAACAAAAUUCCAAGAUCCAACAUGUAUUGUAUACGUACUUUAAUCCCUUGAUACUUUCAAUUUCCUGCAGACAAUACUUCAGAUAUACAUAAUAUUUCCUACACAUCCGACAGCUUAAAUUUAGAAUGUACCACCAAAACCAUAUCCAAUAAAAGGAUAUCAUGAACACCUAUAGUACCAUUUCCAACUUAAAUCACACAUGCAACUUUUUCAAGCCGAUUUAUUCAGUCACAAUUGAUCAUUUCCUAAUGUGUAUUUCCUCUACAGAGUAAAUCGUACCCAAUGCUCAUAAUCAAAACUCUGAUAAUAUUAAAAAUCAUGAAAAUAUUUUAUUUCCUUUAAUCCUGUAUUUUUUUUUAUCUCAUUUCAAUACUUAAAAUCCCUAAUAUCUCCAACACUAUUUCACAUACUUUUAGAUCAUAUGACCUGAGCUCUGGUACUGCUAAAAAGUCAAAGCAAUCUCUUAUUUCUUUUGAUCUGGUUUUCCAUUUCCUUUCAAUUUUCAAAAUCAUUAAUAUCCAAACAUCAUUUCUCACACUUCCAGAUCAUAAAACCUAAACUCUGAUACCACU